ACACGGGUGAGAGGGUAGAGGGUGGGGGUGGGGUUAGGUGAUGAAGGAGGAGAGUUGGGAUGCUCGGAUCUGCCUGGGAUCCGCCUGGGCCAGCAAGGGAGGAUUGGAACUGUUAGGCACUGGGCACCCUCCCUGCCCCUCUGCCUCCAGACCUGGAGGUUGAGAGCCAGCUGACGCCAUUGGGUCUCUUUCCCACAGCCGUGUAACCCUCCCCUACCCACAAUCUGAGACACCCAUCUCCCCACCAGGGCCUGGGUAGGUUCACACCUGCAGACACCAGGGGACGGGGGACCAUCUGAGCCAGAAGACAGAAUGCUGCCUGGAUAAAGACAGCAAGAGAGAGAACACAAGCUGGGGGAAAGGGAGAAGCCUCUUCCCUGCUGAGCAGGGAGCCCAAUGUGGGGCUCCAUGCCAGGACCCUGGGAUCAUGACCUGAGCCGAAGGCAGACUCUUAACGACUGAGCCACCCAGGCGCCCCACCUGACCUAAUUAUUAAGGCAUCAUGGUUUCCUCCUCUGUGUGCCUCUAGGUCUGGAAUAGUUGGAUGUCAAAUACUUCUUCACAAGUUUCCUGUUACCAUCAGGACCAACACUUCCUGCAGAGACUUCCGGCUCAUGGAAGCAGCGUGCGCCAGCAGGAGAGUUCAAUUGCAUUGAGGGCUUCCCAAAGGAGUUCUUUUUUCCCCCUUCUUGCUGGCUUCCUUCUUCUCUCUUAUCUCUGCUCUGUUCCCCACUUGCCCCAAAUCCUCAGACUUCCUCUGGAGACUGCAAAUGAUGAUUUCAGAGACAGCGAGCUCAGGAGCCUGCGUUCAGGCAGGACCCUCCUGGGCCUCCUUCGGCUCUGGGUAAAGCAGUUAUGUUGGCCCAGUCCUACAAGCAGUAUAAAAUCUGUAGGUAAUUAAGAGCUCCCAACUCUCCCUUCAGUCCUACAAAUACAUCACCCUGGGAGAGGGAUCAGCAUUUCAUAACCCUCAUUCACUGAGGUCAGGGCCAUAAAGGCUGCUGGAAUUCCAAAUGUUAAAUGAGAGGAGGUAAAUAUGACUCAUUGAUACCACAGGACACAUUAGCCUCUCUGUUCCCUCUGCUCCCCUCAAGGGUCCUACAGGCAUGAGACCCCAAGAUAUGACUUUUAGGAAUUAAGGAACCUGGAGAAUGGGGGAUAUUACCUGAAGGACACAGGUAUAUGCCACAGGAGAGAGUCUCUAUCGAUGUGUUGAGGAGUUUUAAGCAUCUGAAAAUGGGGUCAACCCAGUUCCCUCCCUACCUCCCUUCCUUCCUUCCUCCCUCUUCCCUCCCCCCCCACCCCUUUCUUUCUUCCUCCCUCUGCUGAGCCCUCCUCAUUCCAGCCUGAGGCUGUGCCAACAUAGCAAUCGAACAGAGUGAAGAUAUGACAAAUAAGAAACGCAUAGUCAACAUGAUCAUUAAAACCCAAAUCCGAUAAUUCAGGUUUUAUUUUUCUUGUAUUUUCCUGUUUGGC